rnacentral:rRNA from 1 species
AUUGAACGCUGGCGGCAUGCUUUACACAUGCAAGUCGAACGGUAACAGGCCGCAAGGUGCUGACGAGUGGCGAACGGGUGAGUAAUGCAUCGGAACGUGCCCAGUCGUGGGGGAUAACUACUCGAAAGAGUAGCUAAUACCGCAUACGAUCUAUGGAUGAAAGGGGGGGACCGUAAGGCCUGGCGCGAUUGGAGCGGCCGAUGUCAGAUUAGGUAGUUGGUGGGGUAAAGGCUCACCAAGCCAACGAUCUGUAGCUGGUCUGAGAGGACGACCAGCCACACUGGGACUGAGACACGGCCCAGACUCCUACGGGAGGCAGCAGUGGGGAAUUUUGGACAAUGGGCGCAAGCCUGAUCCAGCAAUGCCGCGUGCAGGAAGAAGGCCUUCGGGUUGUAAACUGCUUUUGUACGGAACGAAACGGCUCUGGUUAAUACCCGGGGCUAAUGACGGUACCGUAAGAAUAAGCACCGGCUAACUACGUG